UACGAAGGUCCCAAGCGUUAUCCGGAUUUAUUGGGUUUAAAGGGUGCGUAGGCGGGUUAUUAAGUCAGUGGUGAAAGCUCCAUGCCUAACAUGGAAAUUGCCAUUGAUACUGAUGAUCUUGAGUACAUUUGAAGUGGGCGGAAUGUGUCAUGUAGUGGUGAAAUACUUAGAUAUGACACAGAACACCGAUUGCGUAGGCAGCUCACUAAACUGUAACUGACGCUGAGGCGCGAAAGCAUGGGUAGCGAACAGG
rnacentral:rRNA from 1 species